UUACAGUUGGAUAUCAUUGAAAUUCUAUUUAUAAUGAAAAUGAAAGAAAAAUAAAAAGUAUUUUUUUUAGGAUAUAUUUAUUAAAUACAACUUUUGAUUUAAAUGUUGAAACGUAUAGCUAGAUAGAUUAAUAUUAUGGUACUUAUAUGGCAGUGAUAUGCUAACUGGACGUUCUCUAAGUCUAUGGCUAUAUAAAACUCAAUAAUUGAUCACAAUACAUUUGGAAAAAGUUUCGGUGUGGCAUCAACACAGGAACCAGGAUCUUCAUCAGUUAUCAUCGCUGGAUACGAGACACUCGCUAAGCAAAACAUUGUGCAGAUCAUCCAUUUCGAUCCAGUCACGUCUCUCAUUGCGUAUGGAGACAUUGCGAAUGCAGCCCUUGAAGUUGUCUCGCGUCAACAAACAACCGCUGGGUGCAGUAUCUGUACAAAAAAUAAAUUUGAGGGGCGAACGUGUUUGCACUUUGCCAGCAUUGCGUUGAUUUGACAUGCUGAUUGUCGCAGGCAACUGAUCGAUUCGCAAAGCAAGUUGCUCGC